CUGGGUCUGAAAGUGCCAAGUUGUGCAGUGGUGGCCUGUUUCUGCAUGAAGACACUGCCCUGAGAAACCCACACGACCUUUCAGCGUCUUCAAGUGCCAAAAGCAGACUGUGAAAUGACCAGGGUCAAGUUCAAAAUGGAUGUUCCUGAUCAACACAUUGAUCUCCUCCAACCCAGAUUCCUUCCAACUCAUGGUUCUCAUCUUUAAUAUACAGCUUCCAGGACUGCCUGCUGCUCUGUAACAAGCCUGAAGAAGAGGAAAGAUCAUGGAGGAUAGAGUCUGAGGUUUCAUGGGCCAAGAGGUUUUAGUGGGGAAAGUCAGCCACAGGGCCAUACCUAACUGCAAAGGGAGCUGGGAAAUGAAGUCCAACUGUGUGCCCAGAAAGAAGGAGGAAAAGGGUGAAUGAAGACCUAGGCAAUCUCUGCCACAGUGAAACAGAUAAUGAAGUAAAAGAUACAGAGUUUUAUAACCUGAAGAAGGAUGGAAAAUUCAGUUAACUCUAAUCACUGGUGAAAAGGUAGGCUACACCCCAAGGGGGACUGAAGAAUUCCAUCUACUCAAAUCAUGUGUUCAAAAGGGAAAGAGGCUAUGAUGAUAAAAAUAGGGAAGGGUGAAAUCUGAAAGGCACUAUGGGGGCACCAUGACCCACUCCUCUUCUGGUGACAGCACAGGCAGAACCACUUUACUAUGAAAAGCAGCUCAGAUGGAAUCAUCGUGGGGAAGUUUCCUGUAUCUCACUGAGAACCUGCACUGCAGUCCCAAAUGACUCUGGCUUCCAGGGCUGUUGGAAGUGACUUCGCUGCUACUGAAAAGGUGUGGAAAAAGUCUGGGAAUGGUGAAGCCAAUCAAACUCACGCUGGAAAUAUGGAUACCCAGAAAACACACCUUAUUUGCUGGCUUCCCUUGCUCGACCUGGCCCUGUUGCUGAGUUCUGACUAACGAGGUGGGAGCAGAAGUAUCAUGUGGAAGCCUCUGGGAACUCGCCUUAAAAGACACCCAGUGUCUGCUCCCUGCCUUCAUCUCUUUUGUCCCUUCCUCUGUCUCGAGGCUAUAACCCACAUGCGGCCGUCCUGGGCCACGAGCAGGCAGGCCCCUCCUAGAGAUGACGGAGCCAGGGGCCAAAGAAGGCCGAGGCCUUCAGCACUCUGCAGAGAUGCCAUACCAACCCUGCACUGCCUACCUGGACCUCCACACAAGACAAAAAUAACCUCUUACUUUCUGUUGGCCUGUCUUUUGGGGGAUUUUCCAUUACUUGCAGUCAAAA